AUGUGCCGGUCGAUACCAGGGUUGCCUGUGCGCCGUCCGCGCCCACCUGACGACUGCUCGCUAGGUUCCAUUAGCC
rnacentral:sRNA from 1 species